rnacentral:rRNA from 1 species
AGUGAACGCUGGCGGUAGGCCUAACACAUGCAAGUCGAACGGCAGCACAGUAAGAGCUUGCUCUUACGGGUGGCGAGUGGCGGACGGGUGAGGAAUACAUCGGAAUCUACUUUUUCGUGGGGGAUAACGUAGGGAAACUUACGCUAAUACCGCAUACGACCUACGGGUGAAAGCAGGGGAUCUUCGGACCUUGCGCGAUUGAAUGAGCCGAUGUCGGAUUAGCUAGUUGGCGGGGUAAAGGCCCACCAAGGCGCCGAUCCGUAGCUGGUCUGAGAGGAUGGAGCCCCACUGCGGAAAUGAGACACGGCCCCGACCCUGAGGGGAGGCAGAGAGGGGUAAUUUUGGCAGAAGGGGGGAAUCUUGAACCAUCCAAGCCGGGGUGGUGAAGAAGCGCCUCGGGUUGUAAAGCCCUUUUGGUGGGAAAAAAAGCCAGCGGGUUAAACCCCGCCUGUUUGGCCGGAACCCAAAAAAAAACCCCCGCUAAAUUCGUG